rnacentral:rRNA from 1 species
UACGAAGGGGGCUAGCGUUGUUCGGAAUUACUGGGCGUAAAGCGUAUGCAGGCGGACUUUUAAGUCGGGGGUGAAAUCCCGAGGCUCAACCUCGGAACUGCCUUCGAUACUGGAAGUCUUGAGUCCGGGAGAGGUGAGUGGAACUCCGAGUGUAGAGGUGAAAUUCGUAGAUAUUCGGAAGAACACCAGUGGCGAAGGCGGCUCACUGGCCCGGUACUGACGCUGAGACACGAAAGCGUGGGGAGCAAACAGG